rnacentral:rRNA from 1 species
GAACACGGAGCUUGCUCUGUGGGAUCAGUGGCGAACGGGUGAGUAACACGUGAGCAACCUGCCCCUGACUCUGGGAUAAGCGCUGGAAACGGCGUCUAAUACUGGAUAUGUGACGUGACCGCAUGGUCUGCGUCUGGAAAGAAUUUCGGUUGGGGAUGGGCUCGCGGCCUAUCAGCUUGUUGGUGAGGUAAUGGCUCACCAAGGCGUCGACGGGUAGCCGGCCUGAGAGGGUGACCGGCCACACUGGGACUGAGACACGGCCCAGACUCCUACGGGAGGCAGCAGUGGGGAAUAUUGCACAAUGGGCGCAAGCCUGAUGCAGCAACGCCGCGUGAGGGACGACGGCCUUCGGGUUGUAAACCUCUUUUAGCAGGGAAGAAGCGAAAGUGACGGUACCUGCAGAAAAAGCGCCGGCUAACUACGUGCCAGCAGCCGCGGUAAUACGUAGGGCGCAAGCGUUAUCCGGAAUUAUUGGGCGUAAAGAGCUCGUAGGCGGUUUGUCGCGUCUGCUGUGAAAUCCGGAGGCUCAACCUCCGGCCUGCAGUGGGUACGGGCAGACUAGAGUGCGGUAGGGGAGAUUGGAAUUCCUGGUGUAGCGGUGGAAUGCGCAGAUAUCAGGAGGAACACCGAUGGCGAAGGCAGAUCUCUGGGCCGUAACUGACGCUGAGGAGCGAAAGGGUGGGGAGCAAACAGGCUUAGAUACCCUGGUAGUCCACCCCGUAAACGUUGGGAACUAGUUGUGGGGUCCAUUCCACGGAUUCCGUGACGCAGCUAACGCAUUAAGUUCCCCGCCUGGGGAGUACGGCCGCAAGGCUAAAACUCAAAGGAAUUGACGGGGACCCGCACAAGCGGCGGAGCAUGCGGAUUAAUUCGAUGCAACGCGAAGAACCUUACCAAGGCUUGACAUAUACGAGAACGGGCCAGAAAUGGUCAACUCUUUGGACACUCGUAAACAGGUGGUGCAUGGUUGUCGUCAGCUCGUGUCGUGAGAUGUUGGGUUAAGUCCCGCAACGAGCGCAACCCUCGUUCUAUGUUGCCAGCACGUAAUGGUGGGGAACUCAUGGGAUACUGGCCGGGGUCAACUCGGAAGAAAGGUGGGGGAUGACGUC